rnacentral:tRNA from 1 species
GGGCGUAUAGCUCAGUUGGUUAGAGCGCUACGUUGACAUCGUAGAGGUCUCUGGUUCGAAUCCAGAUACGCCCACCA